rnacentral:rRNA from 1 species
UUGAGUUUGAUCAUGGCUCAGAUUGAACGCUGGCGGCAGGCUUAACACCUGCAAGUCGAGCGGAGUGAUGGUGCUUGCACUAUCACUUACCGGCGGACGGGUGAGUAAUGCUUAGGAAUCUGCCAUUUAGUGGGGGACAACAUUCCGAAAGGAAUGCUAAUACCGCAUACGUCCUACGGGAGAAAGCAGGGGAUCUUCGGACCUUGCGCUAAAUGAUGAGCCUAAGUCGGAUUAGCUAGUUGGUGGGGUAAAGGCCUACCAAGGCGACGAUCUGUAGCGGGUCUGAGAGGAUGAUCCGCCACACUGGGACUGAGACACGGCCCAGACUCCUACGGGAGGCAGCAGUGGGGAAUAUUGGACAAUGGGCGGAAGCCUGAUCCAGCCAUGCCGUUUUUUUUAAGAAGGCCUUUUGGUUGUAAAGCACUUUAAGCGAGGAGGAGGCUCUCCUAGUUAAUACCUAGGAAGAGUGGACGUUACUCGCAGAAUAAGCACCGGCUAACUCUGUGCCAGCAGCCGCGGUAA